CCUACGGGAGGCAGCAGUGAGGAAUAUUGGUCAAUGGGCGCGAGCCUGAACCAGCCAAGUAGCGUGAAGGAUGACUGCCCUACGGGUUGUAAACUUCUUUUAUAAAGGAAUAAAGUGAGGCACGUGUGCCUUUUUGUAUGUACUUUAUGAAUAAGGAUCGGCUAACUCCGUGCCAGCAGCCGCGGUAAGACGGAGGAUCCGAGCGUUAUCCGGAUUUAUUGGGUGUACAGGGAGCGUAGAUGGGUUGUUAAGUCAGUUGUGCAAGUUUGCGGCUCAACCGGAAAAUUGCAAUUGAUACGGGCAGCCUUGAGUACAGUUGAGGUAGGCGGCAUUCGUUGUGUCGCGGU
rnacentral:rRNA from 1 species